GGGGGGCCCUGGCGCGGGAGGCCGGCCUACCAUGCAGUCGAGCGGAAACGAGUUAUCUGAACCUUCGGGGAACGAUAACGGCGUCGAGCGGCGGACGGGUGAGUAAUGCCUAGGAAAUUGCCCUGAUGUGGGGGAUAACCAUUGGAAACGAUGGCUAAUACCGCAUAAUGCCUACGGGCCAAAGAGGGGGACCUUCGGGCCUCUCGCGUCAGGAUAUGCCUAGGUGGGAUUAGCUAGUUGGUGAGGUAAUGGCUCACCAAGGCGACGAUCCCUAGCUGGUCUGAGAGGAUGAUCAGCCACACUGGAACUGAAACACGGCCCAAACUCCUACGGGAGGCAGCAGUGGGGAAUAUUGCACAAUGGGCGCAAGCCUGAUGCAGCCAUGCCGCGUGUGUGAAGAAGGCCUUCGGGUUGUAAAGCACUUUCAGUCGUGAGGAAGGUAGUGUAGUUAAUAGCUGCAUUAUUUGACGUUAGCGACAGAAGAAGCACCGGCUAACUCCGUGCCAGCAGCCGCGGUAAUACGGAGGGUGCGAGCGUUAAUCGGAAUUACUGGGCGUAAAGCGCAUGCAGGUGGUUUGUUAAGUCAGAUGUGAAAGCCCGGGGCUCAACCUCGGAAUUGCAUUUGAAACUGGCAGACUAGAGUACUGUAGAGGGGGGUAGAAUUUCAGGUGUAGCGGUGAAAUGCGUACAGAUCUGAAGGAAUACCGGUGGCGAAGGCGCUCACCUGGACAGAUACUGACACUCAAAUGCGAAAGCGUGAGGAGCAAACAGGAUUACAUACCCUGGUAGUCCACGCCGUAGACGAUGUCUACUUGGAGGUUGUAGUCUUGAGCCGUGACUUUCGGAGCUAACGCGUCAAGUAAUCCGCCUGGGGAGUACGGGUCGCAGAUWACACUCAAAUGCAUUUGACUGGAAGGGGCGAAUUCCUGC
rnacentral:rRNA from 1 species